rnacentral:rRNA from 1 species
AGGGGGAUAACAGUUAGAAAUGACUGCUAAUACCGCAUAAGACCACAGGACCGCAUGGUCCGGUGGUAAAAACUCCGGUGGUAUGAGAUGGACCCGCGUCUGAUUAGCUAGUUGGUAAGGUAACGGCUUACCAAGGCGACGAUCAGUAGCCGACCUGAGAGGGUGACCGGCCACAUUGGGACUGAGACACGGCCCAAACUCCUACGGGAGGCAGCAGUGGGGAAUAUUGCACAAUGGGGGAAACCCUGAUGCAGCGACGCCGCGUGAGCGAUGAAGUAUUUCGGUAUGUAAAGCUCUAUCAGCAGGGAAGAAUUAAGACGGUACCUGACUAAGAAGCACCGGCUAAAUACGUGCCAGCAGCCGCGGUAAUACGUAUGGUGCAAGCGUUAUCCGGAUUUACUGGGUGUAAAGGGAGCGUAGACGGAGAGGCAAGUCUGAUGUGAAAACCCGGGGCUCAACCCCGGGACUGCAUUGGAAACUGUUUUUCUAGAGUGUCGGAGAGGUAAGUGGAAUUCCUAGUGUAGCGGUGAAAUGCGUAGAUAUUAGGAGGAACACCAGUGGCGAAGGCGGCUUACUGGACGAUGACUGACGUUGAGGCUCGAAAGCGUGGGGAGCAAACAAAAUUAGAUCCCCUGGUAGUCCACGCCGUAAACGAUGACUGCUAGGUGUCGGGAGGCAAAGCCUUUCGGUGCCGCAGCAAACGCAAUAAGCAGUCCACCUGGGGAGUACGUUCGCAAGAAUGAAACUCAAAGGAAUUGACGGGGACCCGCACAGGCGGUGGAGCAUGUGGUUUAAUUCGAAGCAACGCGAAGAACCUUACCUGCCCUUGACAUCCGGCUGACCGGCGAGUAAUGUCGCCCUUCCUUCGGGACAGCCGAGACAGGUGGUGCAUGGUUGUCGUCAGCUCGUGUCGUGAGAUGUUGGGUUAAGUCCCGCAACGAGCGCAACCCUUAUCUUUAGUAGCCAGCAUUUCGGAUGGGCACUCUGGAGAGACUGCCAGGGAUAACCUGGAGGAAGGUGGGGAUGACGCCAAAUCAUCAUGCCCCUUAUGGGCAGGGCUACACACGUGCUACAAUGGCGUAAACAAAGGGAGGCAGACCUGCGAGGGUGAGCAAAUCCCAAAAAUAACGUCUCAGUUCGGAUUGUAGUCUGCAACUCGACUACAUGAAGCUGGAAUCGCUAGUAAUCGCGAAUCAGAAUGUCGCGGUGAAUACGUUCCCGGGUCUUGCACA